rnacentral:rRNA from 1 species
AAUAUUGCACAAUGGUGGGAACUCUGAUGCAGCAAGGCCGCGUGAGUGAAGAAGGAAUUCGGAUCGUAAAACUCGUUCAUUGGGGAAGAAUAAAUGACGAUACACCAUGAGGAAACUCCGGCAAACUACGUGCCAGCGGCCGCGGUAAUACGUAAGGGGCGAGCGUUGUCCGGAAUUACUGGGCGUAUAGGGUACGUAGGCGGCUAUAUAAGUCAGGUGUGAAAUACCAGUGCUUAACACUGGAAUUGCAUUUGAAACUGUGUAGCUUGAGUGCAGGAGAGGAAAGUGGAAUUCCUAGUGUAGCGGUGAAAUGCGUAGAGAUUAGGAGGAACACCAGUGGCGAAGGCGACUUUCUGGACUGUAACUGACGCUGAGGUACGAAAGCGUGGGUAGCGAACA